rnacentral:lncRNA from 1 species
AUUGAUGUUUUGAGCAAUGUGUGUUGAUUGUGUGUGUUUGAAGUGUUGUAGUUGGGGUAUAUGAUUGUUUGAGACCCCUAGGAACUUGUAUGCAUGUUUUAGUUGAGCUAUAUGCAUGAUUUGAGGUUUUGGGAGGCAAGAGGCUCAUGUGAGCCGAGUUUCUGCCCUUUUGGGAGAAACCAGGUUCGGCAGCCGAAGGAACUUUCGGCCGCCGAACCCUCUUGUGGAGGCAGCAUUCGGCUGCCGAAG